rnacentral:rRNA from 1 species
UACCAGCACCCCGAGUGGUCGGGACGAUUAUUGGGCCUAAAGCAUCCGUAGCCGGUUUACAAGUCCUCCGUUAAAUCCAGCUGCUUAACAGAUGGGCUGCGGAGGAUACUAUAAGACUAGGAGGCAGGAGAGGCAAGCGGUACUCAGUGGGUAGGGGUAAAAUCCGUUGAUCCAUUGAAGACCACCAGUGGCGAAGGCGGCUUGCCAGAAUGCGCUCGACGGUGAGGGAUGAAAGCUGGGGAG